CGUGUAGGCGGUCAGGUAAGUGGAAUGUGAAAUGCCCCGGCUCACCCGGGGACCGGCAUCCCAAACUGCCUGGCUUGAGUAUGGGAGAGGAUGGAGGAAUUCCUGGUGUAGCGGUGAAAUGCGUAGAUAUCAGGAGGAACACCGGUGGCGAAGGCGUCCAUCUGGCCCAAUACUGACGCUGAGGCGCGAAAGCUAGGGGAGCAAGCGG
rnacentral:rRNA from 1 species